AUACGGAGGGUGCGAGCGUUAAUCGGAAUUACUGGGCGUAAAGCGUACGUAGGCGGUUUGCUAAGUCAGAUGUGAAAGCCCCGGGCUUAACCUGGGAACUGCAUUUGAUACUGGCAGACUAGAGUAUGAUAGAGGGGGGUAGAAUUCCUGGUGUAGCGGUGAAAUGCGUAGAUAUCAGGAGGAAUACAAGUGGCGAAGGCGGCCCCCUGGAUCAAUACUGACGCUGAGGUACGAAAGCGUGGGGAGCGAACAGGAUUAGAAACCCUAGUAGUCC
rnacentral:rRNA from 1 species